rnacentral:rRNA from 1 species
UACGUAGGGUGCAAGCGUUGUCCGGAAUUAUUGGGCGUAAAGAGCUCGUAGGCGGUCUGUCGCGUCGGCUGUGAAAACCCGGAGCUCAACUCCGGGCCUGCAGUCGAUACGGGCAAACUGGAGUGUUGCAGGGGAGACUGGAAUUCCUGGUGUAGCGGUGAAAUGCGCAGAGUAUCAGGAGGAACACCGGUGGCGAAGGCGGGUCUCUGGACAGUUCCUGACACUGAGGCACGAAGGCCAGGGGAGCAAACGGG